rnacentral:rRNA from 1 species
AAUCCCGUCCACCGAUUGACUAAGGUUUCCAGAGGAAGGCUCGUCCGCUCUGGGUUAGUCGGGUCCUAAGCUGAGGCCGACAGGCGUAGGCGAUGGAUAACAGGUUGAUAUUCCUGUACCACCUAUAAUCGUUUUAAUCGAUGGGGGGACGCAGUAGGAUAGGCGAAGCGUGCGAUUGGAUUGCACGUCUAAGCAGUAAGGCUGAGUAUUAGGCAAAUCCGGUACUCGUUAAGGCUGAGCUGUGAUGGGGAGAAGACAUUGUGUCUUCGAGUCGUUGAUUUCACACUGCCGAGAAAAGCCUCUAGAUAGAAAAUAGGUGCCCGUACCGCAAACCGACACAGGUAGUCAAGAUGAGAAUUCUAAGGUGAGCGAGCGAACUCUCGUUAAGGAACUCGGCAAAAUGACCCCGUAACUUCGGGAGAAGGGGUGCUCUUUAGGGUUAACGCCCAGAAGAGCCGCAGUGAAUAGGCCCAAGCGACUGUUUAUCAAAAACACAGGUCUCUGCUAAACCGUAAGGUGAUGUAUAGGGGCUGACGCCUGCCCGGUGCUGGAAGGUUAAGAGGAGUGGUUAGCUUCUGCGAAGCUACGAAUCGAAGCCCCAGUAAACGGCGGCCGUAACUAUAACGGUCCUAAGGUAGCGAAAUUCCUUGUCGGGUAAGUUCCGACCCGCACGAAAGGCGUAACGAUUUGGGCACUGUCUCAACGAGAGACUCGGUGAAAUCAUAGUACCUGUGAAGAUGCAGGUUACCCGCGACAGGACGGAAAGACCCCGUGGAGCUUUACUGUAGCCUGAUAUUGAAAUUCGGCACAGCUUGUACAGGAUAGGUAGGAGCCUUUGAAACGUGAGCGCUAGCUUACGUGGAGGCGCUGGUGGGAUACUACCCUAGCUGUGUUGGCUUUCUAACCCGCACCACUUAUCGUGGUGGGAGACAGUGUCAGGCGGGCAGUUUGACUGGGGCGGUCGCCUCCUAAAAGGUAACGGAGGCGCUCAAAGGUUCCCUCAGAAUGGUUGGAAAUCAUUCAUAGAGUGUAAAGGCAUAAGGGAGCUUGACUGCGAGACCUACAAGUCGAGCAGGGUCGAAAGACGGACUUAGUGAUCCGGUGGUUCCGCAUGGAAGGGCCAUCGCUCAACGGAUAAAAGCUACCCCGGGGAUAACAGGCUUAUCUCCCCCAAGAGUUCACAUCGACGGGGAGGUUUGGCACCUCGAUGUCGGCUCAUCGCAUCCUGGGGCUGUAGUCGGUCCCAAGGGUUGGGCUGUUCGCCCAUUAAAGCGGUACGCGAGCUGGGUUCAGAACGUCGUGAGACAGUUCGGUCCCUAUCCGUCGUGGGCGUAGGAAAUUUGAGAGGAGCUGUCCUUAGUACGAGAGGACCGGGAUGGACAUACCUCUGGUGUACCAGUUGUCGUGCCAACGGCAUAGCUGGGUAGCUAUGUGUGGACGGGAUAAGUGCUGAAAGCAUCUAAGCAUGAAGCCCCCCUCAAGAUGAGAUUUCCCAACUUCGGUUAUAAGAUCCCUCAAAGAUGAUGAGGUUAAUAGGUUCGAGGUGGAAGCAUGGUGACAUGUGGAGCUGACGAAUACUAAUCGAUCGAAGACUUAAUCAA